rnacentral:lncRNA from 1 species
AAGAACUUCAGAAGCAAUUGGAAGUUGCGGAGAAAGAAUUAAAUCAAGUUCAAGAGUUGUAUAGCCAAGCAACAGAUAAUUGUUUGAACUUGAAGAAAUCGGAUAUCAGUUAGUUGUUUGCUGGCAUAGCUCGGAGAAGAAUCACAAAUAUGAGCUUAUCUCAUCUCGACUCCAACCAUAACCUGCAAAAAUUAAACCAAUUCACAUUGGUCACUAUCAAAACCACACAUUUAACAAGUCAGAGUUCAAACACAUCAAAUCCAUUUUUCAUAAACCUGCAAACAUUAACACACUGAACCAAGUCUAGACCAAAAUGGACAUCUGCACAAUACACAAGCCUGCUGCAAAACGAAGGAA